GAGUCUAUGAUGCAACGUCACCACCUUGUGGCAGCAAGGAGAGAUCACAACGUGGGCUGAGCACGUUGCUCCCUGCUUGGGGUUGGAAGCUGGGCUGGCCGAAUUCCCUGGGUCUUUUGGAUGGUGUAAGUUUUAAAUGGUGGUGGAUUCCAGGACAGUUCAGUAGGAGCCCAUACUCGAAAGGAAAAUAUCAGAACUUCCUGCUAAUCUGCUACUGGGGUUGAUCAAUUAAUUCAAACAAAUGAGAUGUGAACAUAAUUGCAUUAUGAGUUUGAGGAGGUCAUGCUAUUAAAACGGGACAGUCAACUCCAACGACUAACAUAAUCUCUGGGGGUUUCCAGACUCUCACUUUUCAUUUAAUCCCUAGCCUUAGUGAAAUGCAAGAGUAGGAGUGUCGGCAUUUGGGCGGGGAGGCAGGUGAGGCAGGUGCACAUUUCCUCUUCUCUCCAAUGCCCAUAUUUCUAUUUCUGAAUAAAAUGGACCAUCGUGGAGCUAAGGUAAGGCUAACCAAACUAGCUGAGCCACCUCCUGAAGAGAUCAUUGCUUUUGAUUUUAUUUAAUGAGAUUUCUUUUCCUUCUGCUACCAGCAUCCCCAUUCCUUUGGAAAAAUGCUUCCUUAUAAUAACAUAAAGGUCUUGAGAUUUUUUGCUUUUGUUUUUGGGUAGCAAAAUCUUUAUAACAUGAAAUUUGCCAUUUUCACCAUUUUAAAUGUACAAUUCAGUGGCAUUAAUCACCUUCAGAGUGCUGUGCAACCAUUACAGAUAUUUAUUUUCAAAAGGUUUUCAUCAUCCUAAAUGGAAACACUUGGAUCGGGCACGAUGGCUCAUGCCUGUAAUCCCAGUACUUUGGGAGGCUGAGGUGAGCAGAUAACCUGAGGUCAGGAGUUUGAGACCAGCCUGGCCAACAUGGCAAAACCCCAUCUUUACUAAAGAUACAAAAAUUAGCCAGGUGUGAUGAUAUACACCUGUAAUCCCAGCUACUCGGGAGACUGACACAGGAGAAUCGCUUGAACCCAGGAGACAGAGGCUUCAGUGAGCUGAGAUUGUGCCACUGCACUCCAGCCUGGGUGACAGAGCAAGACCUGUCUCAAACAAAAACAAAAACAAAUAGAAACACUGUGCUCAUUGGAUAAAAAAUUCCCCUUCUCCCCUCCUUCCACUCCCAGUAGCUUCUAAUCUACUUUCUGUCUCCAUGAAUUUGUCUAUUUCAUGUAUUUCAUAUAAGUGGAAUCCUACAAGAUGUGGCCUUUCACUCAGUUUAUUUCCCUCAAAAACCUUGUUGCUGAGUUUUAUCCAUGUUGCAGCAUGUAUCAAAAGUUCAUUCCUUUUCAUGGCCAAAUAACAGAAAAAUGUGUAUACUGCUUGGCCAACUUGGUGAAACCCUGUCUACUAAAAAUACAAAAAUUAGCCAGGCAUGGUGGCAGGCGCCUGUAAUCCCAGCUACUCAGAAGGCUGAGGUGGAAGAGUCACUUGAACCCAGGAGGUGGAAGUUGCAGUGAGCCGAGAUCUUGCCAUUGCACUCCAACCUGAGUGACAAGAACAAGACUUUGUGCCCCACCAAAAAAGAGAAAAGUGUGUGUACCAGGCAUUGUUUAUCCACUCAUCUGUUGUUUGACUAUUGUGAAUAAUAUUGCAAUGAUUAUUGGUGUACAAGUAUCUGUUUCAGUCAAUCCCUGUGUUCAGUACUUUUGGUUAUAUGCUUUAGAGUGGAAUUGUUGGUAUUACAACAAUUCUAUGGUCACUCUCUGUUUAGCUUUUUGAGGAACAGCCAAACUGAUUUCCACAGUGUCUACACCAUUUCGCAGUCCCACCAACAAUGUACACGGGUUCUAAUUUCCCCACAUUCUCACAAACAUUUGUUAUUUUCCUUUUUCCUCCUCUAAAUUAUAGCCAUCUUUGCAAGUGUGAAGUGGCAUCUCAUCAUGCUUUUGAUUUGCAGUUCCCUAAUGACUAAUGACUUUGAGCACCUUCUCAUGGGCUUCCUGGCCAUUUAUAUACCUCCUUGCAGAAAUGUCUAUUCAAGUCCUUUGUUGAGAAUUUAAUUGGGUUGUUUAUUUGUUGUUGAAUUGUAGGUUUUCUAUAUAUAUAUUCUGGAUACUAUCAGAUACAGGAUUUGCAAAUAUUUUCUCCCAUUCUGUCCAUUCAGAAUGGGAGAAAAUUUUAAAUGUACAAUUCAGUGGCAUAUUUAAAUAUACAUUUUAAAUUGUACAUUUAAAAUGUCCUUUGAUAGAAAAGUUUCACUUUUUAAAUUAACUCCAAUUUACCUAUUUUUUUGUUGUUGUUUCUUCCUGGGCUUUUAGUAUCAUAUCUAAGAAGCCCGAUUGCCAAACACAAGAUCAUGAAGAUUUACCCUAUGUUUUCCUUUAAGACUUCUAUGAUUUUAGUUCUUAUAGUUAGGUUGUGAAUUAUUUUUUGCAUGUGGUGUGAAGUAGAGCCCAACUUUAGUCUUGCAUGUGGAAAUCUGUUUCUCCCACAUCAUAAAUUAAAGAAACUGUUAUUUCAUCAUGGAAUGGACUUGGCACUCUUGUCAAAAAUCCUUUGGCCACAGAUGUAUGGAUUUAUUGAGAAGCACUUGUACAUCUCUGGUAGCUUUUAAGAUUCUCCCUUUAUCUUUACAGGCAUAUCUGCCUUAUUCUGCUUCACUUUAGAGUACUUCCACAGAUAUUGUAUUUUUUUUAAAAAAUUGAAGGUCUGUGGCAACUCUGUGUCAAGCAAGUCUAUCUGUAUGUGAUCAAUAUUAUUAUCAAUUAUUAUAUCAUGAUUCCCUAGAAAGGUUACAUCAUCUAUUGACAUCCCUAGCAUGGGCUGGUGACACAUACAACAGAUACUGAUACUCUGUCUGUCACCAAACUGUGUGUGGGUUGAUCAAAGCAAUCUUUGAGUGAGUCUAGUUUCCCCUCUGGUAGGACCUGCCUAGGUGGAGAUAAAAUAUUUUUUUCAACACUUACAUUAAUCUAGAUUUAGAUAUUGUUGCUCUCCUGUAUUUGUGUGUUCCAUAUCCACUGAUUCAACCAACCUCCAAUGGAAUAUAUUUGGAAAAAAAGCAAUAUAACAAUUUUUAAAAAGUCCUACAAAUAAAAAAUACAGUGUAACAACUAUUUAUAUAUCAUUUACAUUGUAUUAGGUACUAUAUGUAAUCUAGAGAUUAUUUACAGUAUAUGGCAGAAUGUACAAAAGUUAUAUGUCAAUAUUAUGCCAUUUUAUAUCAGGGAUUUGAGCAUCUGCGGAUUUUGAUAUUGGUGAGGGGUCCUGGUCCCAGUCCUUCAUGAAUACCCAGGAUUGACUGUAUAUAUUUUUGGAUGUUAAACCACCUUGCAGAACUUAAAAAAAUGUUAUCAAGUAAACAAUCUUCAGGUGAAAUAGUCCAUAUCAGUACCAUCUUUCAAGUAUUAGUUGUUUAUCAGCCAGAUUACUAUGAAGGCUGACAUAACUUUGAUCAGACCAUGUUUCUGAACAACUCAUAUGCCUAAACUGAGCAUUAGUUUCUCAUUCUCAUGCAAUGAUCUGCCUGCCUCAGCCUCCCAAAGUGCUGGGAUUACAGGCGUAAGCCACUGUGCCUGACCAUAAUUUUUCUCUUUUUAGUAGAGACAGGGUUUUGCCAUGUUGGCCAGGCUGGUGAUCUGCCUGCCUCGGCCUCCCAAAUUCCUGGGAUUACAGGUGUUAGCCACCUCAUCUCAUCCACAUUGUUACAUGUAUUAGUAUUUCUUUUUAUUGUCAAAUAAUAUUUCAUUGUAUGGAUAUGACACAAUUUGUUUAUCCAUUCAAUAGCGGAUGCAUAUUUGUUUCCUCUUGACUAAUAUGAAUAAUGUUGCUUUGACCAUAAGUUUUUACAUGAACAUAUGUUUCCAUUUUUCUUGGGUACAUAUAUACCUAGAAGUAAAAUUCUGUCCAAUCAGGUGGUUACUCGUAUGUUCAACCUUUUGAGGGACUGCUAUACUUUUGAGGGACCCUAAAGCGGUCACACCCUUUAUGUUCCCAUCACCAGUGUAUGAGUGUUCCAAUUUUGCCACAUCUUUGCUGACACUUGGUUUUUGUUUCUAUUAUGGCCAUUCCAGUGGAUAGGAAGUAGUAGCUCAGUGUGGUUUUGAUUUGCAUUUUCUGAUGGCUAAUGAUUAUUAGCCUCUUAUCAUUUGCUUUAUCUUUUUUGAAGAAAUGUUUAUUCAGAUAUAUUGCCCAUUUUUAAAUUGUGUUAUUUGUUGUUUUGCUAUUGACUUGUAAGAGUUCUCUGUAUAUUAUUGAUACAAAUCCAUGAUCAGGUAUGUGAUUUGCAAAUAUUUCUCCCCUUCUGUGAGUUGUCUUUUCACUAUUUGGUUGGUAUCCAUUUAAAGCACAAGUCUUUAAUUUUGAUGAAGUCCAGUUUGUUUUUUCUUUUGUUGCUGGUGCUUUUGGUUUUAUAUCUAAGAAGGCUUUGCCUAAUCCCAGGUAAUCAAGUUUUAUGUUUAUAUUUUCUUUAAUGAGUUUUGUAGUUUCAGCUGUGGCAUAUAUGUCUAUGUUCUUAUGUUCUAUCUAUCUUGCAUUAAUAUUAGUGUGAAGGAGUUCAACCAGUUGACAUAAAUAUAGUUUACUUCUGGAUUCUUUUUCUUUUCUUUUUUUUUGAGAUGUACCUUCGCUCUUGUUGCCCAAGCUGGAGUGCAAUGGCACGAUCUUGGCUCACUGCAACCUCCGCCUCCCGAGUUCAAGCGAUUCUCCUGCCCCAGCCUCCUGAGUACCUGGAUUACAGGAGUGCGCCACUACGCCUGGCUACUUUUUGUAUUUCAGACCUUACGUUACAUAAUAGCUCUACCAGUGAAGAGGGCUGUAGCUGUGGUCUCCACCUCCGGCCUGGCGCAGCUCACGUGAUCCAGCUUGUGCAAGACCCAAUUCCAACUCUGUGUUUCUGGCUUUUGGCCACUCAGGAUAGAACCUGGGGACUGGUGCUGGUCGGCCCUGCACGCGGCAGAGUGCCAUCCUUGGUUGUGGAGCUGUUCUUCAGCAGCCUAGCUGGGCUGGGUUCUUACCAGCUGUCUCAGGAUCCAAAGAACGUUUGGCUUUUCCUAGCCGCUACAUCUGGUACCUUGGCUGGUGUUAUGGCAUUGAGAUCCUACUACUAUGGAAAAGUCAUGCCUGUAGGUUUAAUCGCAGGUGCCAGACGGAGUUUUGCUCAUUGCCCAGGCUGUAGUGUAAUAGCGCGAUCUUGGCUCACUGCAACUUCCACCUCCCGGGUUCAAGUGAUUCUCCUCUAUCAGCCUCCUGAGUAGCUAGGUUUACAGCUGGGCUAUUUUGCCUUCCCCACUUCAUUCUUUCCUUGGAGAAGGUCCCUCUACCCAGCUCUUCCACCUGCAGAGACAAGUUCAGCCUUCACAAUUUUAAAGUUUCCAACAACCAUAAAAUUAUGUGCUCCUUCUACUUUAAAAGUUAACUGUAAAAUAGCCUCAGAUGGGUCCUUCAGGAGGGAUUCCAGAAGAAGGCAUUGGUACCGUAGGAUAUGACAGCUCUGUGCAUGUUAUUGCUCCUGCAGACCUUCCAGAGGGAAGAUGUGGAGGUGGAAGGAAGUGAUAUUGAUGAUGCUGACCCUGUGUAGGCCGUGUAGGCCUAGGCUAAUGUAUGUGCUUGUGUCUUAUUAACAACAAAAAAGUUUAAAAAGUAAAAAAUAAAAUAUUAAGAAUAGAAAGAAAACUUAUAGAAGGAAAGAAAUAUAAAUAAGGAAAAAAUGUGUUUGUGUUUUAAGCUGUUAUUACAAGAGUAAAAAUGUUUAAAAAAAAUUCUGCUACAAAGACACAUGCACAUGUAUGUUUUUUUGCAGCACUAUUUACAAUAGUGAAAACUUGGAAACAAGUCAAAUGCCCAUCAGUGAUAGACUAUAUAAAGAAAAUGCGGUGGCUCAAGCCUGUAAUCCCAGCACUUUGGGAGGCUGAGGCAGGUGGAUCACGAGGUGAAGAGAUUGAGACCAUCCUGGUCAACAUGGUGAAACCCCAUCUCUACUAAAAAUACAAAAAAAUUAGCUGGGCAUGGUGGCGCGUGUCUGUAAUCCCAGCUACUCAGGAGGCUGAGGCAGGAGAAUUGCCUGAACCCAGGAGGCGGAGGUUGCAGUGAGCCGAGAUUGCGCCAUUGCACUCUAGCCUGGGUAACAAGAGAGAAACUCUGUCUCAAAAAAAAAAAAAAUAUGGCACACAUACACCACGGAAUACUAUGCAGCCAUAAAAAAGAAUGAGAUCAUGUCCUUUGCAGGGACAUGGAUGAAGCUGGAAACCAUCAUUCUCAGCAAACUAACACAAGAACAGAAAACCAAACACCACAUGUUCUCACUCAUAAGUGGGAGUUGAACAAUGAGAACACAUGGACACAGGGAGGAGGGGGAAACAACACACACCAGGGCCUAUUGGUAGGUGGCAGGCAAGGGGAGGGAUAGCAUUAGGAUGCAUAUCUAAUGCAUGUGAGGCUUAAAACCUAGAUGAGGCCAGUUGUGGGGCUCAUGCCUGUAAUCUCAGCACUUUGGGAAGCUGAGGCAGGUGGAUCAUGAGGUCAGGAGUUUAAGACCCUUUCUCUACUAAAAAUACAAAAUUAGCCAGGCUUGGUGGUGCAUGUCUGUAGUCCCAGCUACUCAGGAGGCUGAAGCAGGAGACUCACUUGAACCCCAAGAGGCAAAGGUUGCAGUGAGCCGAGAUUGUGCCAUUGCACUCCAGCCUGGGCAACAGAGGGAGACUCCGUCUCAAAAAAAAAUCUAGAUGAUGGGUUGAUAGGUGCAACAAAUCACCAGGGCACAUGUAUACCUACGUAACAAACCUGUGCAUUCUGCACAUGUAUCCCGGAACUUAGUAAAAUUUAAACAUACAUAUGUAUUUAUAUAUAAGCUUCUUAAAAUUAAAAAGUUUUAUAAAGUAAAAAUGUUAUAGUAAGCGAAGGUUAAUUUAUUAUUAAAGACAUUUUAAAUAUUUAGUGUAUCCUAAGUGUGCAGUGUUUAUAGAGUCUGUAGUGUACAGUAAGGUCCUGGGCCUUCACAUUCUCUCACCACCCACUCACUCGCCCAGAACAACUUCCAGUCCUGCAAGCUCCAUUCAUGGUACGUGUCCUGUUCUCACUGAACCUUUUCUGCAUCGAGAUAGGUUUAGAUACACAAGUACCAUUAUGUUGUAAUUGCCUGCAGUAUUCAGUACAGCACUGCGAUGUCCAGGUUUGUGGCCUGGGAGCCAUGUUAACCUAAGUGUAUCGUGGGCUCUACCAUCUAGGUUUGUGUAAAUACAAUCUGAUUUCUUCACAAGGACGGUCACCCAAGGACACAUUUCUUAGAACAUAUUCCCAUUGAUAAGUGAUGAACAACUGUGCUUAUACUAAAAAAUUACUCAUUGCUUAUCCAAAAUUCAAAUUUAACUGAGUGGCCUGUAUUUGUGUUUGCUAACUCUGGCAACCCUAUCACCAAGGCAAAUUUCACUGGAAGAAAUUUGAAGCUCUGAAUACAGUUUUUAAUCAAGCAUGUAGACUUUUAUUCACACUUGGAAAUCAACCUUCCAUUAUCCAGAGAGUACACAUGCUGCCUCCAGCUCCUUGUUUCCCCUUGGCCUCUUGGCCCAUUCCAAUCUGCCUCACAGAGCCCCAUCACCCCAUAGAAACAGGUGUCUUUGUGGUCACCAGCGUGUUCCUUGUUGCCACACGCAGUGAACCCUUUUCUGUACUCAUGUUAACAUCUCAGCCACAUUCUGCAAUGCUGACCUCCUUCUCACUUAAGAGAGUUUGGCUCUGGCUUCUGUGACCCCCUUCUCUGUCCUGGUUUUCUACUUAUCUGGCCACUAAUUCUCAUCUCCUCUGUCAGAUCCUUCUCCUCUAACUCCAAAUUGGGAACUCCUCAUGGCUUCAUACAAGGUCCCCCGUCCUCCUCUAUACAACACUGCCCAAUAGAACUCUCUUAUGAGGAUGGAAAUGUCCUCUCUCUGCGCCAUCCAAUGCAGUAGCCACUAGCUACAGAUGGCAACUAAGCACUUGAAAUGUGGCUAGUGUGACUGAGGGAUGGACUUUUAAAUUUUAUUUAAUUAAAAAUUUUUUUUUAUGAAAGCCUUGCUCUGUCACCCAGGCUGGAAUGCAGUGACGCCAUCUUGGCUCACUGCAACCUCUGCCUCCUUGGUUCAAGAGAUCCUCCUUCUUCAACCUUGGGAUAUCUGGGAUUACAGACAUGCACAAUCACACCUGGGUAAUUUUUGUAUUUUUUAUAGAGAAUGAGUUUCACCAUGUCGGCCAGGCAGGUCUUGAACUCCUGACCUCAAGUGAUCUACCCACCUUGGCUUCCCAAAGUGCUGGGAUUACAGACAUGAGCCACUGUGCCUGGCUAACAUUUAUUUAAUUUUAAUCAAUUUAUAUUAGCACAUAUGGCCAGUGGUUACCAUAUUGGACAGUACAGCUCUAGAUUAUCUUACUAGGUGAGCUACUAUUGGCUUUAAAAAGCAGCUUUAUACUUACGAUUUCCUGAUACAUAUCUGUAUCUCUGACCUUCCACAGAGCUCCAGCGUUAUAUGCAUCUGAUAGCUUUGAUGACUCACAAGCAUUAAGGGACCAUAACUGUUCUUUUUUCAGCUGCCAAUACUUCAGAGAGUGGUACCGACAGUUACUCGGUUUGUUGAAGCCAGAAACUGAGAGUAGUUCUUGAUUUUUCCUUAUUCCUUACUAUCCCACACCUAAAUCAUAAGUAAGGUCCACCGAUGCUACCUCCAACUUACAUUUUUUUAUGGGCACCCUAUUUACUUUUAUUACCUGGCAGGAUUUUCAGGAAAAUUGCCCAGAACUGGCAUAUUGAUCCAGGUUUUUACAUUACCCAUUCCUUUUUGUUUCUUCCAAGCUGCAGGAGAUCCCUAGUCGAUUCACGUGAAUAAGCAGGGUUAGUCACAGGUACGGGGGACCAUGUAGACAAGGUAGGAGGCCAGUCAUCCCCAAGGGGCUUUUAUUGGUUCUACAAGUCAAGCCGGAUUCCUUAAAUGGAAGCACAUUCUCCAGUCAAAGCCCUGGUAAAACCAUCAGCUUCUCCAGCUGUGUCUUCAGACUUCUAUUAGUGUAGUUCAUGCAGUUAAGUCCUGUUUGACAUUCAUGAAUGUUUCAGCUCUUCGUGAGUCCUGCAUGUUUUUUCUCUAUUCUAAUGUUGCAAUCUUCAAAGCUAUUAGAAACCCUUCCAAUGGUCCCAUACGGGGCCCCAAAAUGAAGCAGUGUCAUCUCAUACCAAGGGAAUUGAAGACAUGGACGUGCAAGAAGUGAGUUUAAGAGCAGAGGUGUAAUAGGUGGAAGAAAGGGAAAGGAGAAUAGUUCUCUCCCUUGCAGAGACAGAGGGGCUCGUGGGUGGGUCUUCCCCAAAUUACAUUUUGAAUCAGUCUACUUCCUUCGAUCUCCACUGCUACUUUCUAGUCCAAGCCACCAGCAUUUUUGCCUCACAGUCACCUUCCUGCUUUCUAAACCCAGCUUUAAUCCAGUGUCCAUACAGCAUCGGGAUUAUUAUUCUCAAAACAUAAACUGGAUCAUGCCACUUUUUUGCUUAAAAUUCUUCAGUGGUUUGCCACGGCUCUUGGAAUAAAAUCUAGAUGGGCUGUACUGGACUUCAAGGCUCUGAGCCCUGCUUUCCAUUUCAGCCCAUUUCAUGCCAUACUUCUCCUAUUUACACUGUGUUUACACAGUGACAAGUUAACCUCCUGAUAACUUGGCACCCAUAUGCAUCUCCUUAAACCAUACUUAACUUCCAAAUAAAGACUAGGUAGUUCUGCCUAUGACGCGACCAACAUAAUGUAACUAUCCUUCAUACAACUAAAAAUGCACUAGCCCCUUUUCCAGAAUUCAGCUUUCAGGAUUUCAACUUUUGGGAUUGUGUCUUUUGAGAUGUUGAACAUCAGGGAUUUUGAUCUUUCUGGAUUUCAACAUUUGGGAUUAUGGCAUUCAGAAUUGUGUCUUUCAAGAUUUUGAUGGGCAUCACCUAAAAUCAUAGGUUUGAUGUGCUAUUCAUAUCUUUUUCUAUUAUACAUCAAAAUAAGUCAGUGACUGCUGAAAUAUUUAUGGACUGUUUAAACCCACUCUGUACCCCAUGGGACUCUUGCACCACGCUUUGGGAAAUGACUGUCUCAGGGACUCCAGGCUGUCUGCUCACUCCCAUCCUGGGCCCUUCCUCCCCAUCCUGCGCCCUUCCUCCCCAUCCUGCCAGGAUUCCUCAGGUCCCACAUUAGAACACAAACAGAAAUAACAUAGCUCGCUCUGUGCCAAGAGAAACACUUAAGUGUAAAUGCAAUUUAUUGAUAAAGGAGUGCAAUCAAAGCCAAUAUAAACAGCAUUGGCUAAGAACAUGCACUCUGGAGAUGAGCUGGAUUCAAAUCUUGGUCUCCCACUUGCUGUAUAAGUCAUUUCAUCUCCUCAGGUAGCUCAGAGGGCAGCUGUGAAGAUUCCAUCAAUUAAUGUAUAUUCAGGGCUUACAAUGUCUGACACAUGGGAAAUGCUGAUAUGUAUGUGUAUACAUAUACAUUUAAAAUUUUUUUCUUUUUUUUUAAAAAAUGUUCUUUGUUUUUUGAGACCGAGUCUAGCUCUGUUGCCCAGGCUGGAGUGCAGUGGUGCUAUCUCGGCUCACUGUAACCUCUACCUCCUGGGCUUAAGCCAUCCUUCCAUGUCAAUUUUCUGAGUAGCUGGGACUUAUAGGCGUGUGCCACCACAUCCAGCUAAUUUUUGUAUUUUUUUUAGUAGAGAUGGGGUCUUGCCAUGUUGCCCAGGCUGGUCUCUUAACUCCUGGGCUCAAGCAAUCCACCUGCCUCAGCCUCCCAAAGUGCUAGGAUUACAGGUGUGAGCCACUGUGUUUGGCCAGUAAGUGCUAUAUAAAUGUUAGAUAUUAUAGCUUGUGAGCAUUGGCAAUGGAAGUCCAAAGAAAAAAGUAAUCGAUGAGUGUACUAAGCAUCUUUCCCUUUGAAAAAAAUUGGUUUGUUAGAAACUCAUAGGAGUGUACUCACCUACUUAAUCUUUUGGUCAGUACUGCAUGCAUUUGUUAUGUUGGGGUAUUAAACUUUUCUGAAUUAAUUGGACAAUAUAGAAUGCCCAAUGAUUUAAAAUGGGAUCUGACUUACUACAAUUUAGCUACACAAAUUGAUAUUCUAUGCAAAUUGGAGGAUACUUCUAGGCAACCUUCUCAAAAUAUAUUGCUUGUGUAGUUUAUCUUUAUUUGAAAACAGAAUAUUUUCCACUAAAUAUUAGUGAACAUUGGGAGCAGUGCAAAAGUAUGUGUGUGCACACUUCAAAUGUUUUGAAAAGGCUCUUUCUGUUAUGACAGAAUAUAACAGCAGGUAUUUUGCAAAUAAACUACAAAACAGUCAAACUAUUUAAUACUUUUUUUCUUUUUGAGACAGGGUCUUGCUCUGCUGCCCAAGCUGGAGUGCAGGAGCACAAAGAUGGCUGAUGCAGCCUUGACCUCCUGAGUUUAAACCAUCCUCCCACCUCAGCUUCCCAAGUAGCUGGAACUACAGGCACACUGCCAUGCCCCUGGGGUCUCUCUCUGUCACCCAGAGAUGGGGAUUCUCUCUGUUGCCCAGACUGGUCUUGAACUCCUGGACUCAAGCAGUCCUCCUGCCUCAGCCUCCCAGAGUGUUGGGAUUACAGGCAUGAGCCACCUCUCUUGGUGCAUUUAAUAAGUUUUAAUGUUUCAUAACAACUGUUUCCUAGGUCAUAA